AUGGCCUCGGAACAGCGGGCGCCCACCCUGCAGUACGGCGGGCCCUCCGGUUCCGCGGGUCCCUACGCUGGCCUCGACGGGCUGCCGUUUCAUGGGGGACCCCCUGUGUCCACCGUCCCGGCGCCAUCCCCCUCGCUGCUCAGUACCGUCGAGCUGUACGCGCACGGCGGUUAUACUCAGACACCGCCGGUUUCUCCAAGCUUGACUUCGCCACCUACGACGGCAUCGAGGACCCCCUCAACUGGCUUAAUCAGUGUGAGCGGUUCUUUCGGGGGCAACGCACGCUCGCGUUGGACCGCACCUGGCUCGCCUCAUAUCACGUCCGAGGCGCCGAACAAACAUGGUACUACGCCCUCGAGCAGGACGAGGGCGUGCCUGCCCUCAUGGGAGCGCUUUCGUGAGCUAUGCCUCAUUCGCUUUGGGCCGCCGGGACGCGGGAGAUGGCUGGCGGAACUCUGCCGCCUCCCCUUCUUCUCCAUGGUGCAAGACUUCGCCGACCGCUUUCAGGCCCUGGCAUGCCACGCGCCCGGCGUGACGGCUCGUCAGCGGACCGAGCUCUUCGUCGGCGGUCUACCAGAUCACAUCCGCGUGCACGUGGAGCUUCGGGGACCUCAGGACCUCCAGACGGCCAUGUACUACGCCCGCGCCUUCAAGUGUCGCACGCAGGCCUUGCAGCAGGCGUCACCGGCUCGGGGUGGCCGCCAGCCAGCCAGGCCGCCCCCGACACCACCUGUGCCGGGCCGUCCGCCCCCGGCCGCUCCAGCAACCACCACUCCGGCCACAACGCGGCCCUUCCGUCGACUCUCUCCGGUCGAGCAGCUCGAGCGACGUCGCCAGGGGCUUUGCUAUAACUGCGACAAGCCCUACAUGCCGGGCCAUGUCUGCCCGCGCCUCUUCUACUUGGAAGCGGCCGACUACGUCGAGGAGGACACACCCGCCGACGGGCUCGACGAGUUGCCUCCACCAGUUGCUACGGAGGCUGCCCCGGCGCCCGCACCGGCGAGGACUCUCGUGGUCUCGCUCCAUGCGCUCGCGGGCAUCUGCGACGAGCGGACUAUGCUCUUGCCGGUGAUGAUUCACGGCGAGCGCCUGGCGGCCCUCCUAGAUACGGGCUCCACGCAUAACUUCCUUCCCGAGGCGACCAUGGGUCGCUUAGCGCUUCAGCCGACGGGCGGGGAGCAACCCAGGGUCACUAUGGCUAACGGUGACCGCCUCCUAUGCCAUGGGCUGGCGCGGAACGUGCCCAUCACCAUUGGCGAUGAGCACUUCACCAUCACAUGCGUCGGCAUUGACUUGGUCUGCUUCGACUUCAUCCUCGGCUCGACUUCUUGCAGACCCUCGGUCCCAUCUCUGGGACUUUGA
rnacentral:rRNA from 1 species